UAGCAGCAGCAACUCAGGAUGGGAUCAAUUAAGUAAAACAAACCUUUACAUCAGAGCACUGCCUCCAAACACCACUGAUCAGGACCUGGUAAAAUUGUGCCAACCGUAUGGGAAAAUUGUAUCCACAAAGGCUAUUUUGGAUAAGACAACAAACAAAUGCAAAGGUUACGGUUUUGUUGAUUUUGACAGCCCGGCAGCUGCUCAGAAGGCGGUUUCUGCUUUAAAGGCUAGUGGAGUCCAAGCACAGAUGGCAAAG